AUUUCUUCAUUCAAUAGAAGCAUCGCCGAAGUAAUAAACAGAAAAACUGCUGUAGAAUUUUGAAUACGAAACAAUCUGCAAGUCGGUUGAUAUGUAUGCUGCUGUUCGACUUAUUGUUGGCCUGUCGGUUAUACUUUCAGGGGUCGUGUUUACAGGUCCCCCAGUGUCGCCUCACAGAGUGGAAUUUUCAUGCAAUGGGACCUUUUUUAAAGGAUUUAUGUACAGUUAUGUUUGUACAGUUAACUUUUUUUAUAUUGGAGCGACUUUUUGUGUUUCGAUUUUUGGUCUGCUUGUUUAAUUUAAUUGCUAUGGAGUAUCAACCAAA
ensembl:lncRNA